GAGUUUGAUCAUGGCUCAGGACGAACGCUGGCGGUGCGCCUUAUGCAUGCAAGUCGAGCGAAGCUUUUCAGUAGUUUACUACAGAAAAUGACUGAGCGGCGAACGGGUGAGUAACGCGUGAGCAAUCUACCUUAGUUACAGGGAUAGCCCGAGGAAACUCGGAUUAAUACCUGAUAUUCUUUAUUUCUCGCAUGAGAAUAAAAGGAAAGGUCAGCCGAACUAAGAUGAGCUCGCGUUCUAUCAGCUAGUUGGUGAGGUAAAAGCUCACCAAGGCUACGACGGAUAGCUGGUCUGAGAGGACGAUCAGCCACACUGGGACUGAGACACGGCCCAGACUCCUACGGGAGGCUGCAGCAGGGAAUAUUGCGCAAUGAGCGAAAGCUUGACGCAGCGACACCGCGUGUGGGAUGACGGAUCUAGGUUUGUAAACCACUUUCAGGAGGGAAGAAAAUGACGGUACCUCCACAAGAAGCCCCGGCCAACUACGUGCCAGCAGCCGCGGUAAUACGUAGGGGGCGAGCGUUGUCCGGAUUUAUUGGGCGUAAAGAGCUCGUAGGCGGUUCAACAAGUCAGUC
rnacentral:rRNA from 1 species